rnacentral:rRNA from 1 species
UACGUAGGGGGCAAGCGUUGUCCGGAUUUAUUGGGCGUAAAGAGCGUGUAGGCGGCCAGGUAGGUCAGCUGUGAAAACUCGAGGCUUAACCUCGAGACGCCGGCUGAAACCCUCUGGCUAGAGUCCGGAAGAGGAGAGCGGAAUUCCUGGUGUAGCGGUGAAAUGCGCAGAUAUCAGGAAGAACACCCGUGGCGAAGGCGGCGCGCUGGGACGGUACUGACGCUGAGACGCGAAAGCGUGGGGAGCAAACAGG